AUGAACCACCAAGCGCUCCACGUUAAUUAUUAUUAUUACCUCUGCCUGACUGACGAAAGAAGCGGGGAAGGAUGCCACAGGAUCAGACAGGCCUGUGGAGAUCAGGGCGCUGCUGAGGAUGGGUUCCCCACCCCCAGAUCCCACAGCAUUGGGCAGACCAGCUUUUUCUGGGAAGUGGCCUGUGCAGCUCUGACCUUGGCUCCGACUCUCACCCCUCUUCCCGCAGACCAGAACCACAGAAAACAUUAACCCUCCGUCCACCAAACUCCCAGCCAGAGGCACUCAGCUCCCUGUGUGGGUUUAGCAUGACGGGGUGCCGUGUGUCCUGGCAAUCAUUUAUUGAGCUGUGCCUGCUAUGCAAAGAGGCUCAUCAUGCUAUGAGACAGAUCCUUUCGUUACUCCCACUUUAUAGACGAGAAACUGAG
rnacentral:lncRNA from 1 species